rnacentral:rRNA from 1 species
UACGUAGGGACCAAGCGUUGUUCGGAUUUACUGGGCGUAAAGGGCGCGUAGGCGGCAAAUUAAGUCAUCUGUGAAAUCUCCGAGCUUAACUCGGAACGGUCAGGUGAUACUGAUCUGCUAGAGUGCGGAAGGGGCAAUCGGAAUUCUUGGUGUAGCGGUGAAAUGCGUAGAUAUCGAGAGGAACACCUGCGGCGAAGGCGGGUUGCUGGGCUGACACUGACGCUGAUGCGCGAAAGCCAGGGGAGCGAACGGG